GUUCAAUAUUUGAUGCGGUGGGAGUGAGAACUGACUGCCGAAAAAGAACUUUGUGUAUGCUCCUGUUGUACACUUCUUUUCUGAUAGCAGCCACACCCUGCCAUAUCAAAUCUAGACACCACCUCUUACUUGGACUAUCCAGACAGCUUUGGAUUUUUUUCUAAAAUGGACUAAAACAUUGGAUAUAAAAGUGACCUCAGAUAACUUUUAGGUAAAUAGCCUACAUGCGAAAAAAAACAGGUUUUGCUCAAGAAUGAAAAGAAUUCACUAAGACAUCAAUAUGGCUCAUUGGACAGACGCGGAGCGUCAUGUCAUCGGUGACCUGUGGGGAAAGAUCAACCAUUACGAAAUCGGACCACAGUCCCUGGCCAGGUUGUGUGAGUUGUGCAGGCUUGUGUCACUGGACUUAAAGAAGGCAUCAUUUGAAGGGCUUGAUCAGCACCUCCCAUGGCUCCUGCAGUUGUAUAACACCGAGAGGCAGUGAAAUACCAGAAAUCCAAAACGUGAUGACUUGCCUUGAGAGAGGCAAGUCUAACGAACUUCAGUUUGUUCUGCUCCAGAAAUGUGCCGACAUCCAGCAUAACAGCACUGAUUGUUAUGUAAUAGACAUGCACAGUAGAGCUGUUGUGAUUGAUAAACUUAUGUGAUUACUUGACUGUAGACAAG
ensembl:lncRNA